CGGGUAGCUCAGUUGGUAGAGCAGAGGACUGAAAAUCCUUGUGUCGGCGGUUCGAACCCGCCCUUGG
rnacentral:tRNA from 1 species